rnacentral:rRNA from 1 species
CACCAGCGCCACAAGUGGAGAUCGCUAUUAUUGGGUCUAAAGCGUUCGUAGCCGGUUUGAUAACUCUCUUGUGAAAUUGUUAGGCUUAACUUAACAACGCGCAAGAGAAACUUUUAAACUUGAGACUGGGAGGGGGUAGGAGUAUUUCAAGGGGAGCGGUAAAAUGCGUAGAGAUUGGAAAGAACACCGAGAGCGAAGGCACCUUUCUGGGCCAUAACUGACACUGAGAGACGAGAGCUGGGGGAGCCAAUCG